AGGUGGAAACGCCUCAGUUGAGGUCGCAGGAAUCUGAGCACCAAGAAGACAAGUUGGAUGAACCUCAUGAAAAUAUGAGUUCUCAACCAGAGUUCUCGGAAGAGAAGAGGGAAACUCCUCAACUGGUCUUGAAAGAAUCUGAGCCCCAAGGAGAUAAGGUGAGGAAUUAGGUAAUAAAGAUCAUUCUGUAAUCUGGUUUCUUUUUAUUUGCAUAUCUGGUCUGGUCUCUUAUUUCUCCAACU